rnacentral:rRNA from 1 species
GACGAACGCUGGCGGCGUGCUUAACACAUGCAAGUCGAACGGUGAACCUCUUCGGAGGGGAUCAGUGGCGAACGGGUGAGUAACACGUGGGCAACCUGCCCCCGGCUCUGGGAUAACUCCAAGAAAUUGGGGCUAAUACCGGAUGUUCACCGCUUCCCGCAUGGGUGGUGGUGGAAAGGGUUUCCGGCUGGGGAUGGGCCCGCGGCCUAUCAGCUUGUUGGUGGGGUAGUGGCCUACCAAGGCGACGACGGGUAGCCGGCCUGAGAGGGUGACCGGCCACACUGGGACUGAGACACGGCCCAGACUCCUACGGGAGGCAGCAGUGGGGAAUAUUGCGCAAUGGGCGGAAGCCUGACGCAGCGACGCCGCGUGGGGGAUGACGGCCUUCGGGUUGUAAACCUCUCUCAGCAGGGACGAAGCGCAAGUGACGGUACCUGCAGAAGAAGCACCGGCCAACUACGUG